rnacentral:rRNA from 1 species
CGUGUAGGCGGUCAGGUAAGUGGAAUGUGAAAUGCCCCGGCUCACCCGGGGACCGGCAUCCCAAACUGCCUGGCUUGAGUAUGGGAGAGGAUGGAGGAAUUCCUGGUGUAGCGGUGAAAUGCGUAGAUAUCAGGAGGGACACCGGUGGCGAAGGCGUCCAUCUGGCCCAAUACUGACGCUGAGGCGCGAAAGCUAGGGGAGCAAACG